rnacentral:rRNA from 1 species
GAUCCUGGCUCAGGACGAACGCUGGCGGCGUGCCUAACACAUGCAAGUCGAGCGGAGACAGNGAGUAGCUUGCUAUGAGCUGUUUUAGCGGCGGACGGGUGAGUAACGCGUGAGCAACCUUUCCCAGACAGGGGAAUAACACACCGAAAGGUGUACUAAUACCGCAUAAGACCACGGGAUCACAUGGUUCUGAGGUAAAAGAUUUAUCGGUUUGGGGUGGGCUCGUGUCCGAUUAGGUAGUUGGUGAGG